rnacentral:misc_RNA from 1 species
AAACCCUCACCGUUGUGGCUUUGAAUGCCGCCUCUGGUGGACUUGGACCGUGCCGUCAGUGGCUCGCCCCAAAAUGCAUUAGCUGGCACCUUUUAGAGAGUGCAGGCGUGGUGUGAUAAUUAUCUGUGCCACGGCCGAUGGCCUCUUCAGUGUGUGCCGCUCAGAGCAGUCCUCUUUGGACAUCAUAUUAAAG